rnacentral:lncRNA from 1 species
UUGAUUCAUGCAAGUCUCAUGAGCCUAAUAACCAAAAACAAAUUUUAACAUGUGCAGAAAUAGAUUUUCUGCACGUUAAAAUUUGCAGCCCUGGAGUGUGCAGAGAAUCCUCUUCAUGUAAUGGCUUAGCAAUUAUUGCACUUUAGUGGUCUGUUCUUUUCCCUGAAUAUGUUCUAGGUGCUGCAUGACAGUGUGUCACAGUAAUAGGGAAGAAGCAGUCAUUCCUUUGUCUCAUAAUCUACCUGAAUGGAAGAGGAGUUUGGUCUGAAGAUGAGAAUCUGACUGACAAAGCACAUCCAGGGAUGCAACUUACCAUUGCUGUGUGGUUUGUGAAAUUAUUUUUAACAUGUACAGAUGUCCCUUUAAGAAGCUGUAAAUCUUUUGAAAGAGUAAACUGCAAAAUAACGUAACCAAACAAAAAACCAAACCAAAAUAGGCAACUAAGAUUUCUUAAAAGGUAAUUUUAAGAUGGAAAAUAAAAUAAAAAACCAGGCUAGAAUAGGAG